rnacentral:rRNA from 1 species
GGGAGUGGCGCUGCUAUACAUGCAAGUCGAGCGAACGGACGAGAAGCUUGCUUCUCUGAUGUUAGCGGCGGACGGGUGAGUAACACGUGGAUAACCUACCUAUAAGACUGGGAUAACUUCGGGAAACCGGAGCUAAUACCGGAUAAUAUUUUGAACCGCAUGGUUCAAAAGUGAAAGACGGUCUUGCUGUCACUUAUAGAUGGAUCCGCGCUGCAUUAGCUAGUUGGUAAGGUAACGGCUUACCAAGGCAACGAUGCAUAGCCGACCUGAGAGGGUGAUCGGCCACACUGGAACUGAGACACGGUCCAAGACUCCCUACGGGAGGCAGCAGUAGGGAAUCCUUCCGCCAAUGGGCGAAAGCCUGACGGAGCAACGCCGCGUGAGUGAUGAAGGUCUUCGGAUCGUAAAACUCUGUUAUUAGGGAAGAACAUAUGUGUAAGUAACUGUGCACAUCUUGACGGUACCUAAUCAGAAAGCCACGGCUAACUACGUGCCAGCAGCCGCGGUAAUACGUAGGUGGCAAGCGUUAUCCGGGAAUUAUUGGGCGUAAAGCGCGCGUAGGCGGUUUUUUAAGUCUGAUGUGAAAGCCCACGGCUCAACCGUGGAGGGUCAUUGGAAACUGGAAAACUUGAGUGCAGAAGAGGAAAGUGGAAUUCCAUGUGUAGCGGUGAAAUGCGCAGAGAUAUGGAGGAACACCAGUGGCGAAGGCGACUUUCUGGUCUGUAACUGACGCUGAUGUGCGAAAGCGUGGGGAUCAAACAGGAUUAGAUACCCUGGUAGUCCACGCCGUAAACGAUGAGUGCUAAGUGUUAGGGGGUUUCCGCCCCUUAGUGCUGCAGCUAACGCAUUAAGCACUCCGCCUGGGGAGUACGACCGCAAGGUUGAAACUCAAAGGAAUUGACGGGGACCCGCACAAGCGGUGGAGCAUGUGGUUUAAUUCGAAGCAACGCGAAGAACCUUACCAAAUCUUGACAUCCUUUGACAACUCUAGAGAUAGAGCCUUCCCCUUCGGGGGACAAAGUGACAGGUGGUGCAUGGUUGUCGUCAGCUCGUGUCGUGAGAUGUUGGGUUAAGUCCCGCAACGAGCGCAACCCUUAAGCUUAGUUGCCAUCAUUAAGUUGGGCACUCUAAGUUGACUGCCGGUGACAAACCGGAGGAAGGUGGGGAUGACGUCAAAUCAUCAUGCCCCUUAUGAUUUGGGCUACACACGGUGCUACAAUGGACAAUACCAAAGGGCAAGCCGGAAACCGCGAGGGUUCACAGCAAAUCCCAUAAAGUUGUUCUCAGUUCGGAUUGUAGUCUGCAACUCGACUACAUGAAGCUGGAAUCGCUAGUAAUCGUAGAUCAGCAUGCUACGGUGAAUACGUUCCCGGGUCUUGUACACACCGCCCGUCACACCACGAGAGUUUGUAACACCCGAAGCCGGUGGAGUAACCUUUUAGGAGCUAGCCGUCGAAGUGACAGAUUUU